AUAGUAUUAAUAUAAUAAUAUAUAUAUAUAAUAUAUAGUAUUAAUAUAAAGUAUAUAUAUUUAAUAUAAUAUUUAGUUAUAAUAUAUAAUUAAUAAUGUAUUAUAAAUAGUAUUAAUAGUAAUAAUAUGUAAUUAAUAAUAUUAAUAUAGUAUAGUAAUAAUAAUGUUAAUAAAUAUAUAAUAGUAUCAAUAUAUAGUUAUAGUUAAUAAUAAAUAAUAUU
rnacentral:tRNA from 1 species